AUUGAACGCUGGCGGCAUGCCUUACACAUGCAAGUCGAACGGCAGCACGGGAGCAAUCCUGGUGGCGAGUGGCGAACGGGUGAGUAAUAUAUCGGAACGUGCCCAGUCGUGGGGAUAACGUAGCGAAAGCUACGCUAAUACCGCAUACGAUCUAUGGAUGAAAGCGGGGGAUCGCAAGACCUCGCGCGAUUGGAGCGGCCGAUAUCAGAUUAGGUAGUUGGUGAGGUAAAGGCUCACCAAGCCGACGAUCUGUAGCUGGUCUGAGAGGACGACCAGCCACACUGGGACUGAGACACGGCCCAGACUCCUACGGGAGGCAGCAGUGGGGAAUUUUGGACGAAUGGGCGCAAGCCUGAUCCAGCAAUGCCGCGUGCAGGAUGAAGGCCUUCGGUU
rnacentral:rRNA from 1 species